rnacentral:rRNA from 1 species
UCUUGACUGAGUGUCUCGGACCCCCAGAACGUUUCCUUUGAACCAAAUAGAGUGUUCAAAGCAGGCUAUUCGCCUGAAUCAUGCUGCAUGGAACAAUGGAAUAGGACCUCGGUCCUAUUUUGCUGGUUUUCGGAGCUCGAGGUAAUGAUUAAGAGGGACUGAGGCGGGCCUUCGUAUUACGGUGUUAGAGGUGAAUUCUUGGAUCGCCGUAAGACGAACCGCUGCGAAGCUUUGCCAAGAAUGUUUUCAUUAGUCAAGAACGAAGUCAGAGGUUCGAAGACAUCAAC